CUCCCUCUGCCUGGCCAUGCUGAACUCAGAGCCUCCUACUUCUCCUGCCACACUGACAACCAGGACGAUGAGGUGUUCACUUUUAGCUUUAACUUGAUCACAAUUGAUGCGAAUGGAGUGGAAGCCACCUACUCUGUGAAUGCAACCUGCUCCCUCCCUCUACCCUGGUCCCGCAGAGAAGUCAGCUGUGAGGAGAACUAUAUGGAGGUGUCAAUGAGGAGUGACGUUUCCUGUCUGUCUGGUACAACGGAUGCCUGGACUGCUG